GGAGAUAAAAAUUGGUUUACUUCUUUGAACAAAAUCUCCGGAGGACUUGUUAUUUUUGGAGACGGUCUGUCACGCCCCGGGACCGGCGGAGGCCCCCGGGUAGCGUGCCCAAACCCGCCAUAUGUCUACACAUAUAAGGCGUCUACAAUAAAAAGCGGAAGUAAAGCAAGAGAUAGAACAAAUGAAAAGAAGUAAAAUAACUAGCAACUAAUGAUAUCAGAGCGAGUAAAGUUCUAUCAUCUACACCAAAGUAAAGAAAUAAAGCUAGACAAUAAAAGAAACCAUAAGUAGUACACUAUCAG
rnacentral:lncRNA from 1 species